UACGUAGGGACCAAGCGUUGUUCGGAUUUACUGGGCGUAAAGGGCGCGUAGGCGGCGUGGUAAGUCAGCUGUGAAAUCUCCGAGCUUAACUCGGAACGGUCAGCUGAUACUGCUGUGCUAGAGUACAGAAAGGGCAAUCGGAAUUCUUGGUGUAGCGGUGAAAUGCGUAGAUAUCUGGAGGAACACCGGUGGCGAAGGCGGCAUCCUGGACCGAUACUGACGCUGAGGAGCGAAAGCCAGGGGAGCAAACGGG
rnacentral:rRNA from 1 species